UCCGUAGGCGGGUAAUUAAGUCAGAGGUGAAGUCCCACAGCUUAACUGUGGAACUGCCUUAGAUACUGGUUAUCUUGAGUUUUAGUGAAGUAGAUAGAAUGUGUAGUGUAGCGGUGAAAUGCAUAGAUAUUACACAGAAUACCGAUUGCGAAGGCAGUCUACUAACUAACAACUGACGCUAAUGGACGAAAGCGUGGGGAGCGAACAGGAUUAGAUACCCUGGUAGUCC
rnacentral:rRNA from 1 species